CCCUUACUCCCUCCGUCCAACAAAAGAUGUCUGAAGUUUGUCAAAGUUUGGAUGUAUUUAAACAUGACUUAGUGUAUAUAUGCAUUGAAAUUUAGUCAAAGUUGAGACAUCCUUUCUUGGAUGGAGAAAGUAUUAA
rnacentral:pre_miRNA from 1 species